rfam:Corchorus capsularis cultivar CVL-1 contig09959, whole genome shotgun sequence.
GCUGGAGUUGCUCAGUUGGUUAAGCAUAUGAUAUAUAAUCGUAAGAUCGGAGGUUCGACUCCUCCCUCCGGCA